GCUCAAGCUUAAAAUCUCCGUGCAAUUUUUGCGCGGCGAAUUGUAGUCUAUAGAAGCGUGGUCAGUAUGGGCACUUGGGUUAAGUUCCUUGGAAGAGGACAGCAUGGAGGGUGAUACUCCCGUUCGUCCCCAAGUUGCUUGUGCGUACGACCCGUUUUCUUUGAGUCGCGUUGUUUGAGAAUGCAGCGCAAAGUAGGUGGUAAAUUCCAUCUAAAGCUAAAUAUUGGUGCGAGACCGAUAGCAUACAAGUACCGUGAGGGAAAGAUGAAAAGAACUUUGAAAAUAGAGUUAAAGAGUACCUGAAACUGCUGAAAGGUAACCAAAUCGUUUCCAGUGUCUAUAAUCCGUGGUAUAUUUCAUUGGCGAGUGUAUGCGUGCGUGUGCUGUUGCAGUGGCCUUUUUGGCUGCGCUCGGCGUGUGUGUUGUGUGUGCUUGCUGGUGCCCUGUGCUGUGGUGGGACGUCAAGGUCAGUUCGUAUGCUGCGGGAAAUGGCCACUGAGGAGGUAGGGCUUACGCUUGCGUUUGUCUGUUAUAUCUUGGUGGACGAGUAGUCGCGGUUGGGACUGAGGUGCCUACAACGUGCUUUUGAGUGGAUUUGGGUCUCCGUGUGCGCCGUGUGCGGAUAGCUUGCUAUGCGUGUGUGGCUGUGUAUGGAUUGAUGCGAGUCGUAACUUGUAGCCGUCGGG
rnacentral:rRNA from 1 species